rnacentral:rRNA from 1 species
UAGCGACAAGGCAAGUGAGAACCUUGCCCGCCGAAAGACCAAGGGUUCCUGGGCCAGGCCAGUCCGCCCAGGGUGAGUCGGGACCUAAGGCGAGGCCGACAGGCGUAGUCGAUGGACAACGGGUUGAUAUUCCCGUACCCGUGUGUGGGCGCCCGUGACGAAUCAGCGGUACUAACCACCCAAAACCGGAUCGAUCACUCCCCUUCGGGGGUGUGGAGUUCUGGGGCUGCGUGGGAACUUCGCUGGUAGUAGUCAAGCGAAGGGGUGACGCAGGAAGGUAGCCGUACCAGUCAGUGGUAACACUGGGGCAAGCCGGUAGGGAGAGCGAUAGGCAAAUCCGUCGCUCACUAAUCCUGAGAGGUGACGCAUAGCCGGUUGAGGCGAAUUCGGUGAUCCUCUGCUGCCAAGAAAAGCCUCUAGCGAGCACACACACGGCCCGUACCCCAAACCGACACAGGUGGUCAGGUAGAGCAUACCAAGGCGUACGAGAUAACUAUGGUUAAGGAACUCGGCAAAAUGCCCCCGUAACUUCGGGAGAAGGGGGACCGGAAUAUCGUGAACACCCUUGCGGUGGGAGCGGGAUCCGGUCGCAGAAACCAGUGAGGAGCGACUGUUUACUAAAAACACAGGUCCGUGCGAAGUCGCAAGACGAUGUAUACGGACUGACGCCUGCCCGGUGCUGGAAGGUUAAGAGGACCCGUUAACCCGCAAGGGUGAAGCGGAGAAUUUAAGCCCCAGUAAACGGCGGUGGUAACUAUAACCAUCCUAAGGUAGCGAAAUUCCUUGUCGGGUAAGUUCCGACCUGCACGAAUGGCGUAACGACUUCUCAACUGUCUCAACCAUAGACUCGGCGAAAUUGCACUACGAGUAAAGAUGCUCGUUACGCGCGGCAGGACGAAAAGACCCCGGGACCUUCACUACAACUUGGUAUUGAUGUUCGGUACGGUUUGUGUAGGAUAGGUGGGAGACUGUGAAACCUCGACGCCAGUUGGGGCGGAGUCAUUGUUGAAAUACCACUCUGAUCGUAUUGGGCAUCUAACCUCGAACCCUGAAUCGGGUUUAGGGACAGUGCCUGGCGGGUAGUUUAACUGGGGCGGUUGCCUCCUAAAAUGUAACGGAGGCGCCCAAAGGUUCCCUCAACCUGGACGGCAAUCAGGUGGCGAGUGUAAAUGCACAAGGGAGCUUGACUGCGAGACUUACAAGUCAAGCAGGGACGAAAGUCGGGAUUAGUGAUCCGGCACCCCCGAGUGGAAGGGGUGUCGCUCAACGGAUAAAAGGUACCCCGGGGAUAACAGGCUGAUCUUCCCCAAGAGUCCAUAUCGACGGGAUGGUUUGGCACCUCGAUGUCGGCUCGUCGCAUCCUGGGGCUGGAGCAGGUCCCAAGGGUUGGGCUGUUCGCCCAUUAAAGCGGCACGCGAGCUGGGUUUAGAACGUCGUGAGACAGUUCGGUCUCUAUCCGCCGCGCGCGUCAGAAACUUGAGGAAACCUGUCCCUAGUACGAGAGGACCGGGACGGACGAACCUCUGGUGCACCAGUUGUCCCGCCAGGGGCACCGCUGGAUAGCCACGUUCGGUCAGGAUAACCGCUGAAAGCAUCUAAGCGGGAAACCUUCUCCAAGAUCAGGUUUCUCACCCACUUGGUGGGAUAAGGCCCCCCGCAGAACACGGGUUCAAUAGGUCAGACCUGGAAGCUCAGUAAUGGGUGUAGGGAACUGGUGCUAACCGGCCGAAAACUUACAACACCC